rnacentral:rRNA from 1 species
CAGUCGCCGCGGUAAUACGAAGGGUGCAAGCGUUAAUCGGAUUUACUGGGCGUAAAGGGCGUGUAGGCGGCCUGGGGCGUCCCAUGUGAAAGGCCACGGCUCAACCGUGGAGGAGCGUGGGAUACGCUCAGGCUAGAGGGUGGGAGAGGGUGGUGGAAUUCCCGGAGUAGCGGUGAAAUGCGCAGAUACCGGGAGGAACGCCGAUGGCGAAGGCAGCCACCUGGUCCACUUCUGACGCUGAGGCGCGAAAGCGUGGGGAGCAAACCGGAUUAGAGACCCCAGUAGUCCCUGUCUCUUAUAC